rnacentral:rRNA from 1 species
UCCGUAGGGUGAACCUGCGGAGGGAUCAUUACACAAAUAUGAAGGCGGGCUGGAACCUCUCGGGGUUACAGCCUUGCUGAAUUAUUCACCCUUGUCUUUUGCGUACUUCUUGUUUCCUUGGUGGGUUCGCCCACCACUAGGACAAACAUAAACCUUUUGUAAUUGCAAUCAGCGUCAGUAACAAAUUAAUAAUUACAACUUUCAACAACGGAUCUCUUGGUUCUGGCAUCGAUGAAGAACGCAGCGAAAUGCGAUAAGUAGUGUGAAUUGCAGAAUUCAGUGAAUCAUCGAAUCUUUGAACGCACAUUGCGCCCUUUGGUAUUCCAAAGGGCAUGCCUGUUCGAGCGUCAUUUGUACCCUCAAGCUUUGCUUGGUGUUGGGCGUCUUGUCUCUAGCUUUGCUGGAGACUCGCCUUAAAGUAAUUGGCAGCCGGCCUACUGGUUUCGGAGCGCAGCACAAGUCGCACUCUCUAUCAGCAAAGGUCUAGCAUCCAUUAAGCCUUUUUUCAACUUUGACCUCGGAUCAGGUAGGAU